GGGGAUGACAGGCUUCGACGGGAGAGGGUGUUCCCGGAUGGCGAGCCAAGAGGCACCGACCUUGUAAAAUCAGUGCAAACAAUUAAGUGCCAAUCGCACUCCUUCCUACUCUGCUCUCCCCCUCGCCGCCUAAUCGGUAGCGUAAGGUAGCAGAAUGGCCUCGUAAGAGACCACGUUCGUCCACCACCGUUCACUGGCCGGGGGUGGACGGGCGAACCAAAUGUCAGUGUGCCACACGAAGACGCCGCUAACCGUGUGAAAGAGGAACUUUCGGGUUCCAGCGGCUUGCUCGGAGAACCUUUGGUCUGCUGUAGGUCUCCGCGUUAAAAUAAACACCGGACUAGGCUCGUAGAAAUUCGAGGGACGAAUCUUUCGGACUCGGGUUCAAUUCCCGACAUCUCCACCU
rnacentral:tmRNA from 1 species